GGCAGAAGAGGACUGGGUGAUGUGGAAAGAACCACACAGAGUCCAGGAGCUGUCUAUGUCCCUCCUAGGCAAGAUACAGGAGAGAUAGACUGGACACCCUUGAAGAGAGGUGGACUUUCAGACAGGGGAGCAAGGACAGACACUAGGUCCUGGGUAUAAGUAUCGAUGCGGGGGGGAUAGUUUACAUAAUGGACAAGAAGUCCGUUAAGGUUUAGAUCUAAAGUGUUCCUCAAAAGUCCCAUGUGUGCAGAGUUAGGGCUUCUGGAAGGUGACUGGAUCGUACUUUCACGGGUUGAUCCACGGAUGAAUUCAGAGCUGAAUGUGCUGUUAAAGAGGUGAGCUUGGUUAAAGAGUGAUGCCAUUUUGUAACUGAGGAAAUAUUAAGAAGAUCGUGUAGCCAAUGUGCAGAGAGCCCAGGAAUGAACCCUAGAUGCUAUAGCUCCAGGCCAACAAAGACUCCAUCAACUCCUAAUCUCAGGUUGGAUCCUGAAGUGGUCACUGGAAAACCAAAGUGAGCACCUCCAGAGAUCAGGAAAUAUUUUGGUUUGCCGCCCAUCUAUUUCAUCCUUGGGAAUCCUGCAAUCGAUUGGCUAUCACCAAAGAUCUCAAAUGUGAAACUCAGAUCUUGUUGAAGAGCUUGUGAUACUAACCUACGACACAGCUUCCGGCCA